rnacentral:misc_RNA from 1 species
GAUGAAGAACGUAGUGAAAUGCGAUACGUAACGUGAAUUGCAGAAUUCAGUGAAUCAUCGAGUCUUUGAACGCACAUUGCGCCCCCUGGUAUUCCGGGGGGCAUGCCUGUCCGAGCGUCAUUGCUGCCCUCAAGCACGGCUUGUGUGUUGGGCCUCCGUCCUCCUCCCGGGGGACGGGCCCGAAAGGCAGCGGCGGCACCGCGUCCGGUCCUCGAGCGUAUGGGGCUUCGUCACCCGCUCUUGUAGGCCCGGCCGGCGCUUGCCGACACAUCAAUCUUUUUUCCAGGUUGACCUCGGAUCAGGUAGGGAUACCCGCUGAACUUAAGCAUAUCAAUAAGCGGAGGA